rnacentral:rRNA from 1 species
GCGAGACUGCUCUCGGGUGACGAGCGGCGGACGGGUGAGUAAUGUCUGGGAAACUGCCUGAUGGAGGGGGAUAACUACUGGAAACGGUAGCUAAUACCGCAUAACGUCGCAAGACCAAAGUGGGGGACCUUCGGGCCUCAUGCCAUCAGAUGUGCCCAGAUGGGAUUAGCUAGUAGGUGGGGUAAUGGCUCACCUAGGCGACGAUCCCUAGCUGGUCUGAGAGGAUGACCAGCCACACUGGAACUGAGACACGGUCCAGACUCCUACGGGAGGCAGCAGUGGGGAAUAUUGCACAAUGGGCGCAAGCCUGAUGCAGCCAUGCCGCGUGUAUGAAGAAGGCCUUCGGGUUGUAAAGUACUUUCAGCGAGGAGGAAGGCGUUAAGGUUAAUAACCUUAGUGAUUGACGUUACUCGCAGAAGAAGCACCGGCUAACUCCGUGCCAGCAGCCGCGGUAAUC